rnacentral:rRNA from 1 species
GACGAACGCUGGCGGCGUGCUUAACACAUGCAAGUCGAACGAAGUGGCGAACGGGUGAGUAAUACGUUAGUAACUGCCCUCCUUUUUCGGAUAAGCCUUGGAAACGGGGUCUAAUACCGAAUAAAGGGGGAUGGGCUCGCGGCCUAUCAGUUUGUUGGUGGGGUGAUGGCCUACCAAGGCGGUGACGGGUAGCCGGCCUGAGAGGGGACCGGCCAAAGUGGGCAGAGAUACGGCCCAUGGUACGACGGGAGGCAGAAGGGGGGAGUGUUGCACAAAAGGGGAAACCCUGUGGCAGCGACGCCGCGUGGGGGAUGACGGCGUUCGGGUUGUAAACCGCUUUCAGCCAUGACGCGGUAGUGGCAGAAGAAGCACCGGCUAACUACGUGCCAGCAGCCGCGGUAAUAC